rnacentral:pre_miRNA from 11 species
GACCCGCACGGAAAAAUAUCUUCCCGUGCGGUCGUAUUAAGUCGCCCGCACAGGAAGAUAUUUUUCCGUGCGGUC